rnacentral:rRNA from 1 species
GGGAAGGCAUAAUGGCAGUCGAACGAGCACUUGAGAUUGAAUCUUCGGAUGAGAACUCUUGUGACUGAGUGGCGGACGGGUGAGUAACGCGUGGGUAACCUACCUCAUACAGGGGGAUAACAGUUGGAAACGACCGCUAAUACCGCAUAACCCGCUAGUAUCGCAUGAUACAGACGGAAAAGAUUUAUCGGUAUGAGAUGGACCCGCGUCUGAUUAGCCAGUUGGCAGGGUAACGGCCUACCAAAGCGACGAUCAGUAGCCGGCCUGAGAGGGUGAACGGCCACAUUGGGACUGAGACACGGCCCAAACUCCUACGGGAGGCAGCAGUGGGGAAUAUUGCACAAUGGGGGAAACCCUGAUGCAGCGACGCCGCGUGAGUGAGGAAGUAUUUCGGUAUGUAAAGCUCUAUCAGCAGGGAAGAAAAUGACGGUACCUGACUAAGAAGCCCCGGCUAACUACGUGCCAGCAGCCGCGGUAAUACGUAGGGGGCAAGCGUUAUCCGGAUUUACUGGGUGUAAAGGGAGCGUAGACGGCUAAUCAAGUCAGAAGUGAAAACCCAGGGCUCAACCUUGGGACUGCUUUUGAAACUGAGUAGCUAGAGUGCAGGAGAGGUAAGCGGAAUUCCUAGUGUAGCGGUGAAAUGCGUAGAUAUUAGGAGGAACACCAGUGGCGAAGGCGGCUUACUGGACUGUAACUGACGUUGAGGCUCGAAAGCGUGGGGAGCAAACAGGAUUAGAUACCCUGGUAGUC